rnacentral:rRNA from 1 species
CCAGCAGCUGCGGUAAUUCCAGCUCCAAUAGCGUAUAUUAAAGUUGCUGCAGUUAAAAAGCUCGUAGUUGGAUUUCUGGCCUGAAACAUUUUGUCGGCCACGGUUUCGUGUGUUAGUGCAUUAUGUUCUGGCCAUCCUUCCAAUCGCUAUUUACCUUUCUUCAUUGAUUGGUAAGUGGUAUUGGAUCUUUUACUUUGAAAAAAUUAGAGUGUUUCAAGCAGGCUUUAUGCUAUGAAUACAUUAGCAUGGAAUAAUAAUUUAGGACUUCGGUUCUAUUUUGUUGGUUUCUAGGACUGAAGUAAUGAUUGAUAGGGAUAGUUGGGGGUGCUAGUAUUCAGCGGCCAGAGGUG